rnacentral:rRNA from 1 species
CUACAAUGCAGNCGAACGAUGAUGCCCAGCUUGCUGGGUGGAUUAGUGGCGAACGGGUGAGUAACACGUGAGUAACCUGCCCCUGACUCUGGGAUAAGCGUUGGAAACGACGUCUAAUACUGGAUAUGAUCACUGGCCGCAUGGUCUGGUGGUGGAAAGAUUUUUUGGUUGGGGAUGGACUCGCGGCCUAUCAGCUUGUUGGUGAGGUAAUGGCUCACCAAGGCGACGACGGGUAGCCGGCCUGAGAGGGUGACCGGCCACACUGGGACUGAGACACGGCCCAGACUCCUACGGGAGGCAGCAGUGGGGAAUAUUGCACAAUGGGCGAAAGCCUGAUGCAGCAACGCCGCGUGAGGGAUGACGGCCUUCGGGUUGUAAACCUCUUUUAGUAGGGAAGAAGCGAAAGUGACGGUACCUGCAGAAAAAGCACCGGCUAACUACGUGCCAGCAGCCGCGGUAAUACGUAGGGUGCAAGCGUUGUCCGGAAUUAUUGGGCGUAAAGAGCUCGUAGGCGGUUUGUCGCGUCUGCUGUGAAAUCCCGAGGCUCAACCUCGGGCUUGCAGUGGGUACGGGCAGACUAGAGUGCGGUAGGGGAGAUUGGAAUUCCUGGUGUAGCGGUGGAAUGCGCAGAUAUCAGGAGGAACACCGAUGGCGAAGGCAGAUCUCUGGGCCGUAACUGACGCUGAGGAGCGAAAGCAUGGGGAGCGAACAGGAUUAGAUACCCUGGUAGUCCAUGCCGUAAACGUUGGGCGCUAGAUGUAGGGACCUUUUCCACGGUUUCUGUGUCGUAGCUAACGCAUUAAGCGCCCCGCCUGGGGAGUACGGCCGCAAGGCUAAAACUCAAAGGAAUUGACGGGGGCCCGCACAAGCGGCGGAGCAUGCGGAUUAAUUCGAUGCAACGCGAAGAACCUUACCAAGGCUUGACAUACACCGGAAACGGCCAGAGAUGGUCGCCCCCUUGUGGUCGGUGUACAGGUGGUGCAUGGUUGUCGUCAGCUCGUGUCGUGAGAUGUUGGGUUAAGUCCCGCAACGAGCGCAACCCUCGUUCUAUGUUGCCAGCGGGUUAUGCCGGGGACUCAUAGGAGACUGCCGGGGUCAACUCGGAGGAAGGUGGGGAUGACGUCAAAUCAUCAUGCCCCUUAUGUCUUGGGCUUCACGCAUGCUACAAUGGCCGGUACAAAGGGCUGCGAUACCGUAAGGUGGAGCGAAUCCCAAAAAGCCGGUCUCAGUUCGGAUUGAGGUCUGCAACUCGACCUCAUGAAGUCGGAGUCGCUAGUAAUCGCAGAUCAGCAACGCUGCGGUGAAUACGUUCCCGGGCCUUGUACACACCGCCCGUCAAGUCAUGAAAUGUCGGUAACACCCGAAAGCCGGUGGCCUAACCCUUGUGGAAGGAGGCCGUCGAAGGUGGGAUCCGGUGAUUAGGACUACAAUGCAGNCGAACGAUGAUGCCCAGCUUGCUGGGUGGAUUAGUGGCGAACGGGUGAGUAACACGUGAGUAACCUGCCCCUGACUCUGGGAUAAGCGUUGGAAACGACGUCUAAUACUGGAUAUGAUCACUGGCCGCAUGGUCUGGUGGUGGAAAGAUUUUUUGGUUGGGGAUGGACUCGCGGCCUAUCAGCUUGUUGGUGAGGUAAUGGCUCACCAAGGCGACGACGGGUAGCCGGCCUGAGAGGGUGACCGGCCACACUGGGACUGAGACACGGCCCAGACUCCUACGGGAGGCAGCAGUGGGGAAUAUUGCACAAUGGGCGAAAGCCUGAUGCAGCAACGCCGCGUGAGGGAUGACGGCCUUCGGGUUGUAAACCUCUUUUAGUAGGGAAGAAGCGAAAGUGACGGUACCUGCAGAAAAAGCACCGGCUAACUACGUGCCAGCAGCCGCGGUAAUACGUAGGGUGCAAGCGUUGUCCGGAAUUAUUGGGCGUAAAGAGCUCGUAGGCGGUUUGUCGCGUCUGCUGUGAAAUCCCGAGGCUCAACCUCGGGCUUGCAGUGGGUACGGGCAGACUAGAGUGCGGUAGGGGAGAUUGGAAUUCCUGGUGUAGCGGUGGAAUGCGCAGAUAUCAGGAGGAACACCGAUGGCGAAGGCAGAUCUCUGGGCCGUAACUGACGCUGAGGAGCGAAAGCAUGGGGAGCGAACAGGAUUAGAUACCCUGGUAGUCCAUGCCGUAAACGUUGGGCGCUAGAUGUAGGGACCUUUUCCACGGUUUCUGUGUCGUAGCUAACGCAUUAAGCGCCCCGCCUGGGGAGUACGGCCGCAAGGCUAAAACUCAAAGGAAUUGACGGGGGCCCGCACAAGCGGCGGAGCAUGCGGAUUAAUUCGAUGCAACGCGAAGAACCUUACCAAGGCUUGACAUACACCGGAAACGGCCAGAGAUGGUCGCCCCCUUGUGGUCGGUGUACAGGUGGUGCAUGGUUGUCGUCAGCUCGUGUCGUGAGAUGUUGGGUUAAGUCCCGCAACGAGCGCAACCCUCGUUCUAUGUUGCCAGCGGGUUAUGCCGGGGACUCAUAGGAGACUGCCGGGGUCAACUCGGAGGAAGGUGGGGAUGACGUCAAAUCAUCAUGCCCCUUAUGUCUUGGGCUUCACGCAUGCUACAAUGGCCGGUACAAAGGGCUGCGAUACCGUAAGGUGGAGCGAAUCCCAAAAAGCCGGUCUCAGUUCGGAUUGAGGUCUGCAACUCGACCUCAUGAAGUCGGAGUCGCUAGUAAUCGCAGAUAGCAACGCUGCGGUGAAUACGUUCCCGGGCCUUGUACACACCGCCCGUCAAGUCAUGAAAUGUCGGUAACACCCGAAAGCCGGUGGCCUAACCCUUGUGGAAGGAGGCCGUCGAAGGUGGGAUCCGGUGAUUAGGA